rnacentral:rRNA from 1 species
CUACGGCACCACUGAGAGAGGAGCCCGCGGCGCAUUAGCUAGUUGGUGGGGUAACGGCCCACCAAGGCGACGAUGCGUAGCCGACCUGAGAGGGUGACCGGCCACACUGGGACCUGAGACACGGCCCAGACUCCUACGGGAGGCAGUCAGUAGGGAAUCUUCGGCAAUGGGCGAAAGCCUGACCGAGCAACGCCGCGUGAGCAAAGAAGGCCUUCGGGUUGUAAAGCUCAGGUACACCCGGGGAAAGAGCGGGCAAGGAGAGGGAAUUGCUCCUGUCGAGACGGUACCGGGAGAGGAAGCCCCGGCUAACUACGUG